rnacentral:lncRNA from 1 species
UGCUCGUUUGGUUCAAGUAGAGGAAUGGAAAGGGAAUGAAAUCAAAUAAAGGAGUGGAAUGGUAACAAUAACCAUUACUUUUAUUGAGUGUUUGGUUUAACAAUGGAAAGGAAUCAUUAGUAAGGGAUUCCCUUUCUUUUGUUUCCUCUCUAUUUUGAGGGGUAACAAAUUGGGUGAUUGGGUUACCCUCAAGGAAGGGUAAUGAUUAUCUCAUUAUCCAUACCAAACAAAAGUAAUGGAUUCAAUUACUUGUUUCCCUUUCCAACCUCUAAAAACACCCAAUCAAAUUUGGGCUUAAGUGUAACAUAUUUAGCGGUAUUCAAAGUUUUACUCAUAAAAUGUGUUUUUUUUUUACUCCUUGAGUGAGUAUCUAGCCACAAUUGUUGCAAAUUGCAAUGUAUGUUGCAUUUUGAAAGCCAUAUUUAGGCGUGAAUGAAUUGAUUUAAGUGCAAACGAGUGAAGUUUGAAGGUGAAGCUAAUUCCUUAUAUAAAUUUAAUGUCUUUUGUCAUUCUGAUUCAAGGGUUCAUCCACACCACAUUGUUCAACAUCAAGC